ACGUCGCCCCUGUGCACCGUCGUCAUCGCGCCAGGGCUCGGAUGACGCUUUCCGGGUGGUCCCUGCCUCCGCGCGGUCUAGAUGCCACUAUAGGGAGACGAGCGAGUCGACUCAUAGCCGUCCUUGACACGCCCGCAAUCUCCGUCGCUCCCAUGCCUCAGCAGUGACGGGCAUGGCCAAAACAGCGUCGCGCACUGUGUAGGAUAACAGUGGGUACUUUUCUCCCCUUUAAUAUUUCCUUCCCCCUCUCCUUGCAUCCUGUUCGCCUUAGCCUCCAAACUGACUACUCGAAUCCUUCUUCGUCGCUGCUCCUCACUUUCGUUUUGCCACCCACUGUCAUCAUGGGAGCGUUUGGUGUGGUCUUGGUGCCCGCCAUGCCCUAGCCUUUGUCGGCUGCUCCGUAAGCCUAGGUUUGCUCGGCUACAUCCCUUCAGUUCGUGUGCCUCUGCAUUUGUCGGCUCUUUAGGUAUUUGCUUCGUUAGGGUGGUAUUGGCAUGGUUAAUUUCUCACUCCAUUGAUUAUUUGUGUUAGCAUUUGGUAUGUUGACAUGGUUGUCAGGGCUUAGGUAGCACUCAUAGGUCCCGAGUUUGACUCCAGUAUUCUAUUGCCUGCACCCAUAGCAAAUCGAUUCCAGUUGAGUGGCUGCUACCCGAGCUCGGGAUGCUUGAAGGGCUACCUAAAAUAACAUUCAGUAAAACAUGGGUGGUACUGGUAUUGGUACCCGAGCUCUAUGGGCGCUACCUCCUCUAUCUUCCUGAGCUUAGGUAGCAUCCAUAGGUCGUGAGACCUAUGUAUUGUCCCAUAAAUCAAGCCCAAAUCUGAUUAGGUACCAUUAGGUACAGAUUCCGGAUCAAACUCGAUUCGGUCUGGAUGUAGCCAUUUUUUAAGUUAUGCACAAGCUAACUGUUUUUGUCAUCUACGAGAUGCAAAAAUGUUUUUCUCUGCUUCAUUGCAUGCAUAUCGUCCUCUAAAAGGGCACUAGCCUCUACUUAUCUGUGUACAUGUCCUUGUUGUUUGGUUAAUUCUUAUGAGCUGUUUUUUUUCCAGUUGUCUGGGUGCUUCCUGCCUAGGUGACUUUUGUCGCAACUUGGAGGAGACCACUCACCAGUUUGCCUUUCCGAUUGGUGAGUAUGUAUGCCUAUGCACCAAGCCCUUUUUUAAGUCAUAUUUAGAUAGCCAGAUUGCUAAUGGAAAGCCUUGCUUUGGAAAGCUUUCUGAAAGCAAAUUUAUACAAACAUUCAACUACAUAUUCAGAUAGUCAGAUUGUUGAUGGAAUUGUUUUGCUCAUUGUUUUUUAAAGCAAUUGCUAUCUAGCUUCCAAGCAAAUGGUAACAUUUUGUGCUCGCUUUGGUUUCAGGAAUUUCCUGUCCUUGUCCAUGUUCUCGCAGAGGAGAUGGGCUGGUUUAUGAGAACAUUUGAGGAUGGGAACACAGCUAGCAGCAUAGGAUCCAUGACAUAACAGGUGAGGUUUUCUGAACAACAUGGUUCUGUCCAUGUAAAAACUAAACGAUCUUUUUAGUGUAUAUGCCCAUAGUUUCUAAAGUUUAUCUUUAAAAUUGUACCAUUGUACAUGCUAUGAAUUAUCAGCUACCAUUAAUGUUCUAUUAGUUUAGUUUUAAAAUUUAUGCUCAAACUAUAUUGCUAUAUUUUUUAACCCUAAACUAAACACAUAUUUUUACCAGAACAAUUAUGUCUUAGCCAAAAAUGUUGGUCUACCAUCACAAAGAAAUAGAUUGUACUUGCACGAUUUCAUGAAAAUAGAAUUUUAACGCACCAUAAGCCUCUUUAUUGAUGAUUUGGUAAUUCCAGUUGGAACCUCAAUUUUUUCUAUGGGUUAUGUUCAUUUAAUGUUACUUGUAUCAACCGUGUACUUUUGUAAGCCUUCUAGACUCUCGCCUUAUUUCAGUCUUUGACUAUUUCUAUAAUUUCCAUAGAUAAGCUUCAGUUAUUGGUUGAUGUUAUUUUCUCAUCUCUCAGUUUAUACCUGCUAGCAUGCCUAGAGUUAACUAUAUAUCUACUCUCUUGUGGUAUUUUGUGUAGCCCUGUUAAUUAUUGUGCAGCAGCGGAGAAGAUCGAGAAGACUGUCGCACGCGUUUGCUAUAGGGAGUAGACUGUCGAGAAGACUGUCGCACGCGUUUUCGAAUAAGUGAGUACCAAUUUCCAUCAUAACUAAAACAUUGAAUUGUGACAGUUUGCUUUCUUCUAGCAGUGCCUUGGCAUUAGUAGAUCCCUUAGCUCAAUGCCAAAUCAGAAAGUGACGUUUUCCCACAAAUAAUUGUUUCCCACAAAUGCAAGCAUCCCAGUCGUUACAAUAAAGAGAAUCGCAAUUUGCAUUUAUGUAAAUCUUGUGUGCUUUAUAACAAGAGAUCCAUUUAAUAUACUCCUAGCUUCAAUUUCACAUGAUAGCUUCAUUUUUCCAAUCCCCUCCAUUCUUGUUGCUUCCAUACUAGCCCUUAGAGUGUUGAUCAAGCCGACGGUCUCCAUAGAAGCAACCUGCAAGGUUAGUCCAGCAAGUAGCACCAAUUAUAGUCUGUAAGAAUAGCAAUACUAAAUCUUCUAUGUGAAAUUUAUGCAUUGGCAGCGUACAUGGAUUAGUAGUUUUGUGAGACAAAGUUAAAUAGAGGCAACACAGGAGAAUUGGGACAGGGUGCACGGUUCCACACAUAUUCUUAUGCUUGUGUGAUGGCUUGAUUCUUUCCUCUGAAAGUAAUUCUUAAGCUAUGAUUUAUUUUCUGCAGGUCCAGUUUUUCGCCUCUGUUUUAUGCACUUAAUGAAUAAACUAGCCUUUCAUGUUUUGUCCUUCAGUGUAACUUGAUUUUGUUACCUAUUGCUUUCACUUUCAAUGAUUUUGGUUUAUUCUGUUAUGCUGUUAUCAUGUGGCAUUUUUUCAUCUCAUCAAUAUCACAAAUUCUAUCCUCUUCAUAAUGUUGCUAGCUCUUAGGAGAUCCUAAAUGAAUGUAUAUCUGAUCUCGGUCAUGCAGAUGCAUCAUUUUAGUGGUUGUUGGUAAUCCGAUCUGUGAUAUUAUCGAACACAUUGAUUUAAAAACUCGGCCGGAGAGGAAAAGACCGCCCUCCUGGUCUUAACCAUCCUACAAAAAGAUUUAAAAGUUCUGAUGAAAAUAAAAACAACCCAAUUAAAGUGGAAUCCAGAUUCAAGUUCUCAAUUUAUGGAGAGCAAUGUAAAUUUUAUGCACACGUUCUUUAUUUGGACAAUCUUGAAACCACAAAGGAUUAACCUCAUUCUAUUU
rnacentral:lncRNA from 1 species